AUGGUUAAGACUAGGGUUAAGGUUUGGGAUAGGGUUAUGAAUGGUUAAGAUAAGGGUUAAGGUCUGGGAUAGGGUUAUGAAUGGUUAAGAUAAGGGUUAAGGUCUGGGAUAGGGUUAUGAAUGGUUAAGAUAAGGGUUAAGGUCUGGGAUAGGGUUAUGAAUGGUUAAGAUAAGGGUUAAGGUCUGGGAUAGGGUUAUGAAUGGUUAAGAUAAGGGUUAAGGUCUGGGAUAGGGUUAUGAAUGGUUAAGAUAAGGGUUAAGGUUUGAGAUAGGGUUAUGAAUGGUUAAGAUAAGGGUUAAGGUCUGGGAUAGGGUUAUGAAUGGUUAAGAUAAGGGUUAAGGUUUGAGAUAGGGUUAUGAAUGGUUAAGAUAAGGGUUAAGGUUUGGGAUAGGGUUAUGAAUGGUUAAGAUAAGGGUUAAGGUUAGGAUAGGGUUAUGAAUGGUUGAGACUAGGGUUAAGGUCUGGGAUAGUGUUAUGAAUGGUUAAGAUAAGGGUUAAGGUUUGGGAUAGGGUUAUGAAUGGUUAAGAUAAGGGUUAAGGUUUGAGAUAGGGUUAUGAAUGGUUAAGAUAAGGGUUAAGGUUUGAGAUAGGGUUAUGAAUGGUUAAGAUAAGGGUUAAGGUUUGAGAUAGGGUUAUGAAUGGUUAAGAUAAGGGUUAAGGUUUGAGAUAGGGUUAUGAAUGGUUAAGACUAGGGUUAAGGUUAGGAUAGGGUUAUGAAUGGUUGAGACUAGGGUUAAGGUCUGGGAUAGUGUUAUGAAUGGUUAAGAUAAGGGUUAAGGUUUGAGAUAGGGGUUAUGAAUGGUUAAGACUAGGGGUUAAGGUUAGGAUAGGGUUAUGAAUGGUUAAGACUAGGGUUAAGGUUAGGAUAGGGUUAUGAAUGGUUAAGACUAGGGUUAAGGUUAGGAUAGGGUUAUGAAUGGUUAAGAUAAGGGUUAAGGUUAGGAUAGGGUUAUGAAUGGUUGAGACUAGGGUUAAGGUCUGGGAUAGGGUUAUGAAUGGUUAAGAUAAGGGUUAAGGUCUGGGAUAGGGUUAUGAAUGGUUAAGGUCUGGGAUAGGGUUAUGAAUGGUUAAGGUAAGGGUUAAGGUCUGGGAUAGGGUUAUGAAUGGUUAAGAUAAGGGUUAAGGUCUAGGAUAGGGUUAUGAAUGGUUAAGACUAGGGUUAAGGUU